rnacentral:rRNA from 1 species
GAACAUGAAAUUACUAGCCUACAAAGAGUCGAAGCACAUUAAUGUGUGACGGCGUGCGUUUUGAAGUAUGAGCCGGAGAGUUAUUGCAAGUUGCAAAGUUAAGCCUCAAAGGGUGGAGCUGGAGCGAAAGCGAGUCUUAAUAGGGCGUUAAGUAGGUUGCAAUAGACCCGAAAGGGGACGAGCUAUCCAUGAGCAGGUUGAAAUUUGGAUAAAACCAGAUGAAGGACUGAACCGACUGUCGUUGAAAUGAUAGCGGAGGACUUGUGGAUAGAGGUGAAAUUCCAAUCGAGUUCCCUGAUAGCUGGUUUUUGUCGAUAUAGUUUUAGGACUAGCGUCAAAUAAAUUGAUGAUUGGAGGUAAAGCACUAAAUCUAUAAGGGCACUUCGCUGUGUACUAAAUAGAAUUAAACUCUGAAUUCCAGUCAUUUUACUUUGGCAGUGAGACUAUUUGGGAUAAGCUUUAUAGUCGUGAGGGAAAGAGCCCAGACCAACAAAUAAGGUCCCUAAAUUAAGCUAAGUGGAAAAGGAAGUCAAAAUUCAUAAACAACUAGGAUGUUGGC